rnacentral:rRNA from 1 species
UACGUAGGGGGCGAGCGUUGUCCGGAGUUACUGGGCGUAAAGCGCUUGUAGGCGGUCCACCAAGUUUGGGGUGACAGUUGCCGACUUAAUCGCAAAGUGCCUCAAAGACUGGCGGACUUGAGGGCCACAGAGGGACAUGGAACUCCAGGUGUAGUGGUGAAAUGCGUAGAUAUCUGGAAGAACACCAAAGGCGAAGGCAGUGUCCUGGGUGGUCGCUGACGCUGAGAGGCGAAAGCCAGGGGAGCGAACGGG